rnacentral:lncRNA from 1 species
UGGUCAGGGCUUUCCGAGCAAAAAUCACUGGCAACCAGGGUUAAUGAGUGUUUGAAUAUUAAGCAUAACUUGCAAAUUGUAGACCUCCAAUUCGCAGAUUUUUCGUCCCAACAGUCAUUUACUUACAUUCAUCCGAACGUGUUAUGAACACUUAGGAACCUUCCCUACUCUCCCAGAGAGGAUUCCUUCAUAAUGGCAAGGUGAGACAAAAUAGUUAUUAUCCAAACCAACACCCCCUUGAGAAUAAGUGGAACUCUCCCAGACAAAUCUAAAUGUAAUGCCUAGAAAGAGCAACUGAAUCAUUCCUUCAUCUUUUUUUAUGGGAACAUAUGAAGCUGUGCUAAAUUGUGUGGUGGCAGUGAUGACAGCCAUGGCCCAUCUGGAGUGGCUGCUGCAAAGACAACGGCUGCAGCAGGUGACAGAAAGGAGAGAAGAGAAAGAAGAGCUGCAGCCCUUCGGGGAGCCCAGAAUAGGAGUUCCUCAAGCCAAGACUGUGACACCCUCCUUGGGGCUCUGUGGUUCCUGGCAUCUUCUAGCUUCCAGAUGCCACCAUUUUCCCCAGUGCCCAUAGUGGAAGCUGCUUCUUGUAUGUCUGGUCCAGCCACAGCCUCUCAGGGAGCUGGUGUCUGUGAUGGCAUGUGUAGCUGACCACCCUGCCACAGCCAACAUGCCUGGCUGUGUGCAGUAGCUGGAUGCUGUGCUCUCUUGCUCAUAUACCCCUCUCCGCUCCACACUGGACUCGCCCUUGGCAGGCAUGGGAUCCAGGCUGGUAGCACUAGCCUAGUGCGGUUUGCUAGGCUAAGUGGGCAGAACAAACCCAGUGGGCCCAAGCAAAACUUGGGCAAAAGCACCACAGGCCACAGAGGUUUUAGGCAGGCGAAGUGACACCCUAGGUCCUGUGACAAUGGCAAGCUAAUAGUCUUUGCUGAUCGCUUCUUUUUUCUUGGAAAUAAAAAGAAAGAUCAUCAGAUAAGAGGAAGGAUACAGGAAGAUAUUGGAAGUCUAAUAAAAAGGGAGAAGUCAUAAAGCAAGUGAGCAAAUGAAUGAACUAGAGAAUUGCUUAAGAAUGCUAAGCAGCACUAAGGUGGGUGGUUGCAAAUGUAGCAUUGUUACAGGAAGCUGUUGUUCAUUGUACACAUUUUUGCCAGUCAUAUUUGGCCGUGCAGGCAAAAAUUAGUUGGAGAGUUGGAUUUUAUUAGGGUUGGCAUUUUAGCAAGUAAGUACAAUGAAGUUAUAAAACAGAAAGGAAGUUUAAGGAUAGCAGGAAGUGACUAUAAUUUUAAAAAAACAAGGACUCUAAUAUAAGUCAUUAGAGAAAUGACCAUUUGAGGUGGGUACAGACAAUCAAGUUAUAUGAGCAGUGAAUUAUAUAUAGCAAUAGAGGAAAGAAUUGUCAGAGUACUGGGAAUGAGCUGAGAAGUUAAGAGGUGGAGGUGAAAAAGUGAAGGAAAAUGCUGCAGGGAUUUUGGUUAUUUCAAAUGAAAAGGGACGAGAAUGAUUGAGGUAGGUUGGAGACACGUUAUUGGAGUAUAGGAAGUGAAAAGACAUACAUUAAAAUAUGAAAAUUAAUUUUUACAUGGAAAUUAAAUUGCCACUAAUUACAAAAGCAGUAAUGCUAGAGAAUGGUAGUGAGACAGGUGCUAAAAUCUUAAAGAACAGGAGUAAAUGAAUCAUCAGUAGAAGAUGGCACCAAGGAAGGAGAGUAUAGAUAUAGUUUGAAGAUAACAGACUUAGAUCUGAGUGCCUGGAAACGGAAAUGAGAAACAAGGAGGAUAUGGAACCCUCUUCUGGCUACUCUGUGAUGGGGUUACAGGGGAAGCAGAGUUCAUAGGAGAAACAGAUUUCAGGUUGAGCAACAAAUGAUGGAACAAUUAGAGAAGACAAAGGAGAAUUUGCUCAUGGUGGACUGAACUGCAGGGUACCAUCAGAAUAUUUUAGUCUUCAGAGAGAAAUGGAAGAUGAGGCCUAUUAGAAAUAUUUGGGGUAGGAAUCUAAAGAAUGAGUGGUAUCCUGGGAGUCUUGGGCUUCUUAUGGUUAUUGAUGUAAACAAACAAAAGGUAUAUAGGAUUAGUUCUGGUAGCACAAAGAAUUAAAUGGUAGUAACAUUAUGAAAAACAGGAAUGGGGAGGAGGUGUUCACUAUUACAUCCACAUGGUUUAUAAAAGUCAUAUUAUAUAGAAUGGUAUAUAUGAAGUGUGAAAUUAAUCAUCCUACUUAACCCUCCGUAUUCACUAAGAACAGUUUAUUUGUAUUCACUGAAAAUUUCUAAGCACAUGUGAAAUAUAUAUAGAUAGACAACUAGCUCUAAUUAAUGUUUCUGUAAUUGCAUGCCUGCAAGUAUAUUUGUAUUAGUCUGUUUUCACACUGCUAAUAAAGACACACCGGAGACUGGGCAAUUUACAAAGGAAAGAGAUUUAACGGACUUACAGUUCCACAUGGCUGGGGAGGCCUCACAAUCAUGGCGGAAGGCAAGGAGGAGUGAAUCACAUAUUACAUAGAUGGCAGUAGACAAAGAGAGAGCUUGAGCAGGGAAACCCUCAUUUUGAAAACCAUGAGAUCUCAUGAUACUCAUUCACUAUCACGAUAACUAUGCAGAAAAGACCCACCCCCAAAAUUCAAUCACCUCCUACCGGGUCCCUUCCAGAACACAUGGGAAUUGUGAGAGUUACAAUUCAAGAUGAGAUUUUGGUGGGGACACAGCCAAACCAUAUCAAUAUUUAUAUAGAACAAAGAUACUGUUCAUUCUGUUCUUUUAUCUCAUUGAAUUUACCUUUGGAAUAUUUAUUCAAUAAUCAUAUGUGAAUGUAUCUUACUUUUUAAAAACCUUCCUGCAUUAUUUAUCUUUGCAUUGAUUUAUUUAACCUUUUGUCUACUGAUGAACAUUUAGGUUGUUGACAGUUUCUUUUGGACUUGUAAGCAAUAAACAUAUUGCUACAUACUUCAUUUCACAACAUGUAUGAGGGUUUUGUAUAAUAUGAAAACCGUGAAAAAAAAUUUAUACUAAAUUAUACUAAAUAAUGUUUUUUAUGUUAAAUGUUGGUACUUACUGAUAAAUUGCACCCCCUCUAUCCACCAAACUUACAAAAAUAUGUGCCGGCAUUUCAUGAGAUACACUGCACAAUAUGGAUGCUGGCAAAUUUUUAAAACUUGUCGAUUUUCUAUUUGAAAUUUUAAAAAUCCUGCUUUAAUCCAAAGACUUUCAAUGACAAAGGUGGAAAUUUUGGUAACGAUAUAUACACACAAAAACACAUACUUUAAGAGAUGUUAUUAAGCCAGGUGAAAAUAUUCCAUAUUCCACAAAUCACUCUACCUGAACAGUUUCUCUCACCUUUUCACAGGGCUAGUCUUGAAUCUGAGCAGUAUAUAUCGACUUUCCCACUUGCUGUGAAGGAGAGAAAUGAUUUAUUUGAUAUCUAUUCCAAAUACACACAAGCCAACUAGGGAGGCAGUCAGAAUUUUACUUGAAUGAUUGCAGCAUAUUUUUUUUUUCUUUUCUCCCAGGCAUGUAAUAUUUAAACUUUUGGCAUAUGUCAAAGAGUGCUUUACCUCUGGCAAUCACAGCAGGUCCUUUGAGGAAUGCUCAGCCUGGAACCCAUCCCUGGAUGUCACAUCAUUAUAAACACAAUUUCCAUCUUCUCAGUUAUCCCCUAUACAUGUGUUGAAACCUUAACUUCCUUUUCUCAACAUGAAAUGUCUUAGUGACACACUUCUAUUUUUUCCAAGUAUUUAUUUACCUUUACUGAUUCAUUUUAUUUUCCUUCAUUUUAUGUUAUUUUGUUUACUUAAGAUGAGGUAUUAAAAUAAAGUUUUCUGAUGAAAUCACAUAUUUGUUUAAGAAAAACCAACUAGAGACUAAUAAAGUAAAAUCUGUUGAGUUUAUGAAAUAAUUUCAUACUUUAACGUGUGUCUAUUUCAAUUAAAAUCAUAUAUUUAUAUAACUUUUUUCUCUAAAUAGUUGAUAUAAAGUCAAGGAUGCCUCUUUUAAUAUUGACUGGGUUCAGAACACACUGCCCUAAAAUAGGGCACCAUCACAUUUGGAAAAAGAAUAGAAGCAGGAAUAUCACCCUCACCUUCCCCUUCCCUCUCCCCCCUCGAAAACAAGCCAUAAAAUCUGGCUAACCUUCACCUGAAGUAGGUCAUAACACCCUCAUUGCUGUUCUCUCCCUAUACCCAGAGGAUUGCCAUUAUCUCUGAAGACACAGGGACACACAGAAAAAUCUGAGCAAACAGGCUUUGCUAAGUUUCCCCCAGUUUAUUAAUAUUAGGUCAUACUUCUCCAAGAUGGUCCAUUCUUUAUUAAAUCCAAGCACAAAAUGUAGAGGUUUUUCUGUUUCUUUGGAUCUUCAUUUCUGCAGGCUCCUGUGUAACAUAAAACUUACAUUAAGCAGAGUUUUAUACUUUCUUCUUGCUAAUCUGGCUUUUGUUACAGGUGCCUCAGCCAUGAACUAAGCAGUGGGUAAGAAAAGAGAUAUUUCCUCUCUUAGGCAUACACCAAUAGACAUUUCAUAUCUCUUUCUUUCACAAAUCACACAUUUAAUAUAUGAUGGGCAAUUUCUUUAGAUGGGAAUAUCAAUGUAGAUGCCAUCUAGAAAAAUGAAAUUUUAGUAUCUUGUCUUUUUUAAAUGCCUCACCUACCUCUAAUUUGACAUUUUUAGUGAUUCACCUUUACCAAAUCAUUCCAAUAUAUUUAAUUUAGUUUUGACAUAAAUUACUAUCUCUUUUACAUAAGUUUCUUUGGUCCUAUUUUCAUUAAUUAAGCUAUGUAAUGAUAAUAAAUAAAAGAAAAAGAAAUAUUUUAAGCAAGCACAAUGGACUCUUGAUAGUCAAGUUGCUCCCCUAAAGGGAACAAUAGUGCUAGGGCA